AAUGAACGCUGGCGGCGUGCCUAACACAUGCAAGUCGGAUGUGCCGCAAGGUGCAUGGCAGACGGGUGAGUAACGCGUGGGGAAUCUACCUUUUUGUGGGGAAUAACGUUCCGAAAGGAAUGGUAAUACCGCAUGUGAUCACAGUUUGGGAUAGCUGUGAUGAAAGCUGGGGACCGCAAGGCCUAGCGCAAGAAGAGGAUCCUGCGUCUGAUUAGCUAGUUGGCGGGGUAAUGGCCCACCAAGGCGACGAUCAGUAGCCGGCCUGAGAGGGUGAUCGGCCACACUGGAACUGAGACACGGUCCAGACUCCUACGGGAGGCAGCAGUGGGGAAUUUUGCGCAAUGGACGAAAGUCUGACGCAGCAACGCCGCGUGGGUGAUGAAGGUCUUCGGAUCGUAAAACCCUGUCGUCAGGGACGAAGGUAAUGUGCCUAAUACGCAUGUUGCUUGACGGUACCUGGAGAGGAAGCCCCGGCUAACUCUGUGCCAGCAGCCGCCGCGG
rnacentral:rRNA from 1 species